rnacentral:lncRNA from 1 species
UUGCUUUUAGUUUCCGUGUUUUGGUGUUUUGUUUGUUCGUUUUUUUUUGUUUUGUUUUUACGACAAUGCCUUCUAGGGGAACAGUGUCGCUGGGCUGGGCGGUGGAGAGACACCUUUGGCACCAUCGUGCGAUCUCAUGCACCCUACCAGUGGAAAAUCCAUUUGGGAUUGCCCAGUGCACACAGUAGACAUGGAAAUUGAUGAUCAGCAUCCCCAGAAGGCCAGGGGAAGACACGGGCACACAAAAGGAAGAUGGCCAUGUGGACAGAGGCAGAAAUGGGAUCAAUGUAGCUACAGGCCAA